rnacentral:rRNA from 1 species
ACGGCAUCGUGUGGUUUUGAAGAGAAUAUCGGAGACGGAUGGGCAUGCGGCGCAUUAGCUGGUUGGCGGGGUAACGGCCCACCAAGGCGACGAUGCGUAGGGGUUCUGAGAGGAAGGUCCCCCACACUGGUACUGAGACACGGACCAGACUCCUACGGGAGGCAGCAGUGAGGAAUAUUGGUCAAUGGGCGAGAGCCUGAACCAGCCAAGUCGCGUGAGGGAGUACUGCCCUAUGGGUUGUAAACCUCUUUUGUCGGGGAGCAAAAGCCGGACGUGUCCGGCUGUGAGAGUACCCGAAGAAAAAGCAUCGGCUAACUCCGUGCCAGCAGCCGCGGUAAUACGGAGGAUGCGAGCGUUAUCCGGAUUUAUUGGGUUUAAAGGGUGCGCAGGCGGAUUUUUAAGUCAGCGGUCAAAUCGUGGGGCUCAACCCCAUCCAGCCGUUGAAACUGGGGAUCUAGAGUGUGCGAGAGGUAUGCGGAAUGCGUGGUGUAGCGGUGAAAUGCAUAGAUAUCACGCAGAACCCCGAUUGCGAAGGCAGCAUACCGGUGCACAACUGACGCUCAGGCACGAAAGCGUGGGUAUCGAACAGGAUUAGAUACCCUGGUAGUCCACGCAGUAAACGAUGAAUGCUACCUGUUUGGCCAG